AGAGCGAACGUUAGCGGCGGGCCUAACACAUGCAAGUCGAGCGAGAAAGGGACUUCGGUCCUGAGUAAAGCGGCGGACGGGUGAGAAUAUCGUAGGUAACCUGCCUUUCACUGGGGGACAACGGUCCGAAAGGACCGCUAAUACCGCAUACGUCGUCUGGGAUUUCGGUCUUGGACGGGAAAGCUGGGGCAACCUGGCGGUGGAAGAGGGGCCUGCGUCGCAUCAGCUAGUUGGUGGGGUAAUGGCCUACCAAGGCUAAGACGCGUAGCUGGUCUGAGAGGAUGAUCAGCCACACUGGGACUGAGACACGGCCCAGACUCCUACGGGAGGCAGCAGUGGGAAUAGUUGGACAAUGGGCGCAAGCCUGAUCCAGCCACGCCGCGUGAGUGAUGAAGGCCGUUCGGGUACGUAAACGCUCGUGGUGGGAGGGACCGAACCGGCCGGUCGGACGUAAUACUCCAUCGGCAGUGACCGGUACCUCC
rnacentral:rRNA from 1 species